UGGGGAAUAUUGGGCAAUGGGCGCAAGCCUGACCCAGCAACGCCGCGUGAGGGAAGAAGGUCUUCGGAUUGUAAACCUCUGUCCUUGGGGACGAAAAAAAUGACGGUACCCAAGGAGGAAGCUCCGGCUAACUACGUGCCAGCAGCCGCGGUAAUACGUAGGGAGCGAGCGUUGUCCGGAAUUACUGGGCGUAAAGGGUGCGUAGGCGGCAUGGCAAGUCAGAUGUGAAAUCCCCGGGCUUAACUCGGGGGGUGCAUUUGAAACUGCUGUGCUUGAGUGCAGGAGAGGAAAGCGGAAUUCCUAGUGUAGCGGUGAAAUGCGUAGAUAUUAGGAGGAACACCAGUGGCGAAGGCGGCUUUCUGGACUGUAACUGACGCUGAGGCACGAAAGCGUGGGGAGCAAACAG
rnacentral:rRNA from 1 species